rnacentral:rRNA from 1 species
UGGGGAAUAUUGCACAAUGGGCGAAAGCCUGAUGCAGCAACGCCGCGUGAGCGAUGAAGGCCUUUGGGUCGUAAAGCUCUGUCCUAGGGGACGAAAAAAAUGACGGUACCCUUGGAGGAAGCCCCGGCUAACUACGUGCCAGCAGCCGCGGUAAUACGUAGGGGGCGAGCGUUAUCCGGAAUUAUUGGGCGUAAAGAGUACGUAGGUGGUCUUUUAAGCGCAGGGUUUAAGGCAAUGGCUUAACCAUUGUUCGCCCUGUGAACUGGGAGACUUGAGUGCAGGAGAGGAAAGCGGAAUUCCUAGUGUAGCGGUGAAAUGCGUAGAUAUUAGGAGGAACACCAGUGGCGAAGGCGGCUUUCUGGACUGUAACUGACACUGAGGUACGAAAGCGUGGGGAGCAAACA